rnacentral:rRNA from 1 species
UACGUAGGGAGCAAGCGUUGUCCGGAAUCAUUGGGCGUAAAGCGCGCGUAGGUGGCCAUUUAAGUCCGCUGUGAAAGUCAAAGGCUCAACCUUUGAAAGCCGGUGGAUACUGGGUGGCUAGAGUACGGAAGAGGCGAGUGGAAUUCCUGGUGUAGCGGUGAAAUGCGCAGAUAUCAGGAGGAACACCAAUGGCGAAGGCAGCUCGCUGGGACGGUACUGACACUGAGACGCGAAAGCGUGGGGAGCAAACAGG